CUAUUGUGCAAUUAAUGUGUGAGGCUCUUCGAGACUCUUCCGUUCCUAUUCUUCUUCGUGUUCUUCCAAUCUCUGAUUGGAACUUGGAAGUGUAUUUUCUGGGUGAUUGUUUCUGAGUGAAUAUGUAUAUUUAGUGUAUUAGAAGAAGUUUGGGAAUGGAUUACCCUUGAGGCUUCCUUUAAUCGACAAAGGAAAGCUUUAGGGUUUUAUGGGUGGAUCUUGUGGUCACACAGAUGGGUAGAAUCUUAGUUUUACUGAGUCUGAGCCCAAAAAACGUAAUGAUCUUCACAUUGAUGCCUCGAUCUCAAUUUCUUGGAAGGAUUAAGAAAAUAUUUGCUCAGUAAUCUGAUUUUGCACAGUGUUCUUGAGUUUAUUGUAUAUUUUGGUGUCAAUAUUUUUUCAUAUAAUCUUUCUCUCUAUGUUUUAUUCUUGUUUAUAGGGCAACGUGGAAUCAUUUACUGAGUUCAUGGAGAUGGGUCAAGAAUCGUGGCCCUUUUAAGAAGUGGGUUUAGGUAUUUCUUGGAGAUCGCUCGUGCGAGGACUGUGACUUCUCCAUCCAGUCCAACUGAAUACAUUAACGGGCGAAGUCAGUGGACUUUAAAUUAUUUGAAGGGUGUGUUCCCCAUCUGAGGCAGUGUCCUAUGUAACAUAUCAUGAUCAGUCGAAAACGAAAAUAUUUUAUUGAUUGCAAAAAGCAUCGAGAAAUAGUAUUCGGACUUAUUACACUGCAAAUGCCAAACAAAGAGGAUGAGCUCUAAAAAUAGUAUUCGGACUUAUUGCUUGCAAUUGAAAGGUGCCAGGUAGGAACACUUGACCAACUAAGGUCCUUCUCAAUUAUGUCUCAAGAUGCUAGAGCCAAUCAACUUUGUUAAGGAGGAAAACUUUCCAAAUGACCCAUUCCCUGACUUCGAAAUAUCUAUGGCGAAACUUGAAGUUCUAGAAUUUUCCUUUUUUUUUUUUGUCAAAUGGCAAGAUGUAGUUAUUAUGACUUAUCCCUCUCCUCAUCAUUUCGUAUUUCAUCAAAUUGUAUCUAGCGAGGUACCUGUAUUCCAAAAUAAUUGGGGAUCAUGAUCUCGACUAAGGAAAACAAAGUUUUCCUAGUCCAUACCGCUUCCACGUUCUUUUAUAGUGGAUGUUAAGCUUCUUCCCAAAUUAUUAGGUUCCAUUGUUUGAGAAAAUGUAACGGGGAAACACCAGAAAGAUAGAUUAUAGUUUCUAUAUAAAUUUCCAAGUGUUGGCCUUCUCUACAUUGUCGAGGGGCUCGACCUCUUUCCAUUUGGUGAAGUAGUUUACAUCCACUAUUGACAU
rnacentral:lncRNA from 1 species